AUGGCUGGUAUGUCUUCUUUAAUAAACAGUAAAUCGGCUUGUAAUGAAACAGCUGAAAUUCCUAAGGGCAGCAGAAACAAAACUAAUUUAGAAAGGAAGAGAGCAAAUGAAAAUGAACUUGAGCAAGAUGAACCACCAGCAGAGAAAGACCAAAAGAAAAGUGAAGAAAUACAAAAGACCAUUUCAGAAGAUGAGGACGAUAUUAGAGUUUUACAAGAAAAGAAUAGAGAGCUGAAAACACUUGUACUUAUCAUUGAGAGUAAACUUAAAAGGGAAAAGGAGGAGAAAGACAAACUGUACUUCUCAUUGAGAGUAAACUUAAAAGGGCAAAGGAGGAGAAAGACAAAUCAGAUGAACAGAUUGUUUGUUUGCAACAGCAACUUUCCUGUUCUGAAGAACUGCAACAGCAACUUUCCUGUUCUGAAGAAAAGAGUUUAACUUUAAGUAGAAAGGUCCAACAAAUUCAGGCAAAUUAUGA
rnacentral:lncRNA from 1 species